rnacentral:tRNA from 1 species
GCCGAGGUAGCCUAGGUGGUCAUGGCGCGUGCCUGAAGAGCAUGAGAUAGAGGUCCGAUUCCUCUCCUCGGCA